AAUGAAUUGCCUGACUAAAGGAUUAUCUUGAUAGGAUAAAUAAUAUGAUUAUUUCAUAUUCAUUA
rnacentral:tRNA from 1 species